rnacentral:rRNA from 1 species
UACGGAGGGUGCAAGCGUUAUCCGGAUUUAUUGGGUUUAAAAGGGUCCGUAGGCGGAUCGUUAAGUCAGUGGUGAAAGCCCAUAGCUCAACUAUGGAACUGCCAUUGAUACUGGCGAUCUUGAGUAUAAUUGAAGUGGGCGGAAUGUGUGGUGUAGCGGUGAAAUGCUUAGAUAUCACACAGAACACCGAUUGCGAAGGCAGCUCACUAAUUUGUAACUGACGCUGAGGGACGAAAGUGUGGGGACCAAACAGG